rnacentral:rRNA from 1 species
GUUUGAUCCUGGCUCAGGAUGAACGCUAGCGGCAGGCCUAAUACAUGCAAGUCGAACGGUAACAUUGGUGCUUGCACCAGAUGACGAGUGGCGCACGGGUGCGUAACGCGUAUGCAACCUACCUUUUACUAGAGUAUAGCCCAGAGAAAUUUGGAUUAAUCCUCUAUAAUAUCUUUAAGUUUCAUGACUUUUAGAUUAAAGUUUUAACGGUAAAAGAUGAGCAUGCGUCCUAUUAGUUUGUAGGUGAGGUAACGGCUCACCUAGACUACGAUAGGUAGGGGCCCUGAGAGGGGGAUCCCCCACACUGGUACUGAGACACGGACCAGACUCCUACGGGAGGCAGCAGUAAGGAAUAUUGGACAAUGGACGAAAGUCUGAUCCAGCCAUGCCGCGUGCAGGAUGAAAGCCCUAUGGGUUGUAAACUGCUUUUAUACAGGAAGAAACACUCCGACGUGUCGGAGCUUGACGGUACUGUAAGAAUAAGGAUCGGCUAACUCCGUGCCAGCAGCCGCGGUAAUACGGAGGAUCCAAGCGUUAUCCGGAAUCAUUGGGUUUAAAGGGUCCGCAGGCGGUCUUUUAAGUCAGAGGUGAAAGCCUACAGCUCAACUGUAGAACGGCCUUUGAUACUGAAAGACUUGAGUUAUUGUGAAGUGGUUAGAAUGUGUGGUGUAGCGGUGAAAUGCAUAGAUAUCACACAGAAUACCGAUUGCGAAGGCAGAUCACUAAUAAUAUACUGACGCUCAUGGACGAAAGCGUGGGGAGCGAACAGGAUUAGAUACCCUGGUAGUCCACGCC